rnacentral:tRNA from 1 species
AAAAAAACAUUAGACCGUGGCUCUAAAAAUAGGAGUUAAAAUCUCCUUAUAAACC